UGAUCUGGUUUGGACCUGUGGUUUGGACCCAACGAGGACGUCAAGGUCUAAACAGGGGGAGUUUGUAAGGUCCCCAAUAGUCCCACAUCGGAUGGGAUACUGAUUCCGAUCAGUUUAUAUGAGGCCUACACCCUAAUAAUAAUAACUAGGCUUAAGCAUUUUGGGCCGGUGGUUUGGGCCCAACGAGUUAUUGUUGCUAGCGGGUCGGGUCGUUGCACGAUAUAAUCAAUUUCAAAUUCACUGUACGAUUUCAUUUCAGCCGUCCAUUUCUUUUUCACGGCUAUGAUUCUGCCAUCUCUUUUUGUCUUAUAUGUGGCAUUAGUUAGGUUAUCUUAAUUGCCGCCGUCUUUUCAUCAUUAUAGCCGAUCUCGAGAAUCAAUUUCGAUGUGACGGCUCCUUUUCUUCUUCGCUAAGUUUCUCAUUCUCUUUUAUACUCAGACUUCGUCUUCCUUGCUUUCUCUUUGCUUUUCUUUGUCUUCUCUGACCUCUUCUUCAUCUCUUAGCUUGAUCUAUUUCCUUCUUCUCGAUUCUUCAGAUUUUUCUUCUUCUUUCGGCAAUGGCGCCGCUUCCGCCUUUACCUUCUCUUCCGUCACUGGAUUAUACCCUGCUUAAACCAUAUCUUUCUUCGAACCCUACUAGAUUCAUC
rnacentral:lncRNA from 1 species